rnacentral:rRNA from 1 species
CAAGUCGAGCGAACGGACGAGAAGCUUGCUUCUCUGAUGUUAGCGGCGGACGGGUGAGUAACACGUGGAUAACCUACCUAUAAGACUGGGAUAACUUCGGGAAACCGGAGCUAAUACCGGAUAAUAUUUUGAACCGCAUGGUUCAAAAGUGAAAGACGGUCUUGCUGUCACUUAUAGAUGGAUCCGCGCUGCAUUAGCUAGUUGGUAAGGUAACGGCUUACCAAGGCAACGAUGCAUAGCCGACCUGAGAGGGUGAUCGGCCACACUGGAACUGAGACACGGUCCAGACUCCUACGGGAGGCAGCAUUAGGGAAUCUUCCGCAAUGGGCGAAAGCCUGACGGAGCAACGCCGCGUGAGUGAUGAAGGUCUUCGGAUCGUAAAACUCUGUUAUUAGGGAAGAACAUAUGUGUAAGUAACUGUGCACAUCUUGACGGUACCUAAUCAGAAAGCCACGGCUAACUACGUGCCAGCAGCCGCGGUAAUACGUAGGUGGCAAGCGUUAUCCGGAAUUAUUGGGCGUAAAGCGCGCGUAGGCGGUUUUUUAAGUCUGAUGUGAAAGCCCACGGCUCAACCGUGGAGGGUCAUUGGAAACUGGAAAACUUGAGUGCAGAAGAGGAAAGUGGAAUUCCAUGUGUAGCGGUGAAAUGCGCAGAGAUAUGGAGGAACACCAGUGGCGAAGGCGACUUUCUGGUCUGUA